rnacentral:rRNA from 1 species
UGCGGAGGGAUCAUUACCGAGUUUACAACUCCCAAACCCCUGUGAACAUACCUAUACGUUGCCUCGGCGGAUCAGCCCGCGCCCCGUAAAAAGGGACGGCCCGCCCGAGGACCCCUAAACUCUGUUUUUAGUGGAACUUCUGAGUAAAACAAACAAAUAAAUCAAAACUUUCAACAACGGAUCUCUUGGUUCUGGCAUCGAUGAAGAACGCAGCAAAAUGCGAUAAGUAAUGUGAAUUGCAGAAUUCAGUGAAUCAUCGAAUCUUUGAACGCACAUUGCGCCCGCCAGUAUUCUGGCGGGCAUGCCUGUUCGAGCGUCAUUUCAACCCUCAAGCUCUGCUUGGUGUUGGGACUCGCGGUAACCCGCGUUCCCCAAAUCGAUUGGCGGUCACGUCGAGCUUCCAUAGCGUAGUAAUCAUACACCUCGUUACUGGUAAUCGUCGCGGCCACGCCGUAAAACCCCAACUUCUGAAUGUUGACCUCGGAUCAGGUAGAAUACCCGCUGAACUUAAGCAUAUC